GACGAACGCUGGCGGCGUGCCUAAUACAUGCCAGUAGAACGCACAGUUUAUACCGUAGCUUGCUACACCAUAAACUGUGAGUUGCGAACGGGUGAGUAACGCGUAGGUAACCUGCCUGGUAGCGGGGGAUAACUAUUGGAAACGAUAGCUAAUACCGCAUAAUAUUGAUUAUUGCAUGAUAAUUGAUUGAAAGAUGCUAUUGCAUCACUACCAGAUGGACCUGCGUUGUAUUAGCUAGUAGGUGAGGUAACGGCUCACCUAGGCGACGAUACAUAGCCGAACUGAGAGGGUGAUCGGCCAAACUGGGACUGAGACACGGCCCAGACGCCUGCGGGAGGCAGCAGGAGGGAAUCUUCGGCAAUGGACGAAAGUCUGACCGAGCAACGCCGCGUGAGGGAAGAAGGGUUUCGGAUCGUAAAGCUCGGUUGUAAGAGAAGAACGGGUGUGAGAGUGGAAAGUUCACACUGUGACGGUAUCUUACCAGAAAGCGACGGCUAACUACGUG
rnacentral:rRNA from 1 species